rnacentral:lncRNA from 1 species
GGCAGCCGACCUCCGAGUCCAGGCCCUCCUCCUGCACCCUCCACAGCGCCCCGAAGCCCAGCUGGAAGAGGUAGUCGUUCUGGAUCUGCAGCGGCUUCUCAUCCGCCUCCAGGCGCCGCGCGGUCUCCCCGUGCAGCUGCACAUACAGGGUGGGCGGCGGGGGCGCCUUCUCCGCGGCCGCCGCGUCCCCGUCCGGGCUCUCCUCCGCCGGCCGAUCGCGGGCGGCGCCGCCCGAGGCCUCGACGCCUCUCGGGGCCGUCGGCGGUGGUGGGGAGGCGGCCGGGGAGAGCGGCCGGGCGCCCGAAGAGCGGCCGCGUAGGCGGGGCUGGCCCGGGUCAGCCUCGAGCUCCUCGGACGACGACGAGCAGUAGGGAUCCGGCCGGCCCGACGCGCCCUCGGGGCCCGGGCUCGGCCGGGGGCUCUCGGGCUCGGGGGCCGGGCCCGCGCCGUCCGGGGCCCGCAGGGUGCCCAGGCUGCAGCCCGCGGGCGCGGGGCCGGCGCGGGAGGCGCGGCGCGGCGGCGGCCCCGACGGCGGCCAGCGCGGCCUUCCCGGGCGGCGGCCCCGCGGGGCCCCGGCCCGGCACCUUCAGCACUCCGCCGGCCCUGGGGCCCGCCUGCAGCAGGCGGGCGGCCACCUCGCCGGCCGUGGUGUCCAGCGUGCAGAGCACCGGGCGCAGGCGGCUGGCGGCCGGGUGGCGGUCGAGGACGUGCACGCAGCCGCGCUGGAGCUGGUGCCGCACCCAGUCCCGGUCCGACGGCUGCAGCGGCAGCAUCUGCCGGGGCCGCGGGAGCAGAGCCCGGCGGUCCAGGCUCCGGGAGCACGGCGUCGCCGCGGCCGGGCCGGGGGCGGGGAGGCCGGCGGGGCGCGGGGCGGCGGCGGCGGACGCGUUCCUCUUCAGCCGGCUUCUCCUCAGCAGCAGCGAGCUGGCGCCGGGCCCAGGGCGGCCCGCCGGCGGCGGGCAGGGGCGCCGGGCCGCGCCGCCGCCUGCGAGCCGCGCCUCCCGCCCGGCCCGGCGCCGCGGUCAGCGCGGGCCGGGGCCGCCCGCCGCGGCCCGGCCUCCGCGCGGGUCUCCGCGGCCGCGGGCUCCAUGGCGGCGGGGCUCGGCGCGGCCCCGGUUCGGGGGCCGGCGGGCGCACAGCGAGCGGGGGGCGGCGGCGCCGCCAGUGGCGUUUGCGCGGCCGUUCCAGGCGAUUAUGUGGCUGCUCGGAGCGCUCCGUCGGCGUCUCGGUGUUCCAUCCCGCGCGCCCGCCCGGCCGCCACCGCCCCCGGCCCGCCCCUCGCCUCGCGCCGCCUAG